rnacentral:rRNA from 1 species
AGUGAACGCUGGCGGUAGGCCUAACACAUGCAAGUCGAACGGCAGCACAGUAAGAGCUUGCUCUUACGGGUGGCGAGUGGCGGACGGGUGAGGAAUACAUCGGAAUCUACUUUUUCGUGGGGGAUAACGUAGGGAAACUUACGCUAAUACCGCAUACGACCUACGGGUGAAAGCAGGGGAUCUUCGGACCUUGCGCGAUUGAAUGAGCCGAUGUCGGAUUAGCUAGUUGGCGGGGUAAAGGCCCACCCAGGCGACGAUCCGUAGCUGGUCUGGGAGGAUGGUCAGCCACACUGGAACUGAGACACGCUCCAGACUCCUACGGGAGGCAGCAGUGGGGAAUAUUGGACAAUGGGCGCAAGCCUGAUCCAGCCAUACCGCGUGGGUGAAGAAGGCCUUCGGGUUGUAAAGCCCUUUUGUUGGGAAAGAAAAGCAGCAGGUUAAUACCCCGCUGUUCUGACGGUACCCAAAGAAUAAGCACCGGCUAACUUCGUG